rnacentral:rRNA from 1 species
ACACCAGCGCCUCAAGUGGUAUCCACGAAUAUUGGGCCUAGAGCGUCCGUAGCCGGAUUGAAAAGUCUACUGUGAAAUGUUGGGGCUUAACCCUAACGCGUGCAGUAGAAACUUUUAGUCUUGGGAACGGGGGAGGUUCGGAGUACUUCCAGGGUAGGGGUAAAAUCUGUUGAUCCUGGAAGGACUACCAGUGGCGAAGGCGCCGAACCAAAACGUGUCCGACGGUGAGGGACGAAAGCUGGGGGAGCGAACGGGAUUAGAAACCCUAGUAGUCC